GAUUGAACGCUGGCGGUAUGCUUAACACAUGCAAGUCGAACGGAAACGAUACUAGCUUGCUAGUAGGCGUCGAGUGGCGGACGGGUGAGUAACGCGUAGGAAUCUGCCUGAUAGUGGGGGAUAGCCCGAAGAAAUUCGGAUUAAUACCGCAUAAUCUAUUCGUAGUAAAGUGGGGGACUUUCGAGCCUCACGCUAUCAGAUGAGCCUGCGUAAGAUUAGCUUGUUGGUAGGGUAAAAGCCUACCAAGGCGACGAUCUUUAGCUGGUCUGAGAGGAUGAUCAGCCACAUCGGGACUGAGACACGGCCCGAACUCCUACGGGAGGCAGCAGUGGGGAAUAUUGGACAAUGGGGGCAACCCUGAUCCAGCAAUACCGCGUGUGUGAAGAAGGCCUGAGGGUUGUAAAGCACUUUCAAUUGUGAAGAAAAGUUAGCGGUUAAUAACCGUUAGCCUUGACGUUAACUUUAGAAGAAGCACCGGCUAACUCCGUGCCAGCAGCCGCGGUAAUACGGAGGGUGCAAGCGUUAAUCGGAAUUACUGGGCGUAAAGCGUGCGUAGGCGGUUUAUUAAGUCAGAUGUGAAAGCCCCGGGCUUAACCUGGGAACUGCAUUUGAAACUGGUCAACUAGAGUAUGGUAGAGGAAAGUGGAAUUUCUGGUGUGGCGGUGAAAUGCGUAGAUAUCAGAAGGAACAUCAAUGGCGAAGGCAGCUUUCUGGACCAAUACUGACGCUGAGGUACGAAAGCGUGGGUAGCAAACAGGAUUAGAUACCCUGGUAGUCCACGCCGUAAACGAUGAUAACUAGCCGUUGGGGGGAUUUACCCUUUAGUGGCGAAGCUAACGCGUUAAGUUAUCCGCCUGGGGAGUACGGCCGCAAGGUUAAAACUCAAAGGAAUUGACGGGGACCCGCACAAGCGGUGGAGCAUGUGGUUUAAUUCGAUGCAACGCGAAGAACCUUACCUGGUCUUGACAUCCUGCGAACUUUCUAGAAAUAGAUUGGUGCCUUCGGGAACGCAGUGACAGGUGCUGCAUGGCUGUCGUCAGCUCGUGUCGUGAGAUGUUGGGUUAAGUCCCGUAACGAGCGCAACCCCUAUCCUUAUUUGCCAGCACAUCAUGGUGGGAACUAUAAGGAGACUGCCGGUGAUAAACCGGAGGAAGGCGGGGACGACGUCAAGUCAUCAUGGCCCUUACGACCAGGGCUACACACGUGCUACAAUGGGAAGGACAAAGAGCCGCGAAGCCGCGAGGUGUAGCUAAUCUCAUAAACCUUUUCGUAGUCCGGAUUGGAGUCUGCAACUCGACUCCAUGAAGUCGGAAUCGCUAGUAAUCGUAGAUCAGAAUGCUACGGUGAAUACGUUCCCGGGUCUUGUACUCACCGCC
rnacentral:rRNA from 1 species